AGUCACAGAGGCAACAUCUGACUUGAGCUGUCUGGCUGAGAAGGGUCAGACAUUUGCAGUGUAGUUUGCAGGCAUUAGUGCAAGUCUCAAAUGAAGGCUUAAUUUCAAAAGUUCUCCUGCAGCUUCUUGUCAGAGAGAAUUAGCCUACGUGGCUAGAAUCCAGAUGUGCACAGCUAUCAGCUGCUUGAAAGCAUGGAAGUUCAAGAUGAGUGCAAUGCCAGUCAUUCCUUUGCCAUACUGAGAGUCCCUCCUGUCAGGUUACUAACAUGAAACCAACUUCACAGCAGUACUUAUGUUCAGAUUUGUUGCUGUCAAGAAAAAGGCAAGUUUUACCUCAAAUCUUUCAAAAACAGGAACUUUAAAACAACAACCAAACUUCCAGAGAAAUUUUCUUUAAAUGUUAAGUAUUUUACCCAGUUUUCUGUUUGGUGUUUUUUCAGAUGUGCUUCCUUGCUGUUUUUUAAAGCAUAAAGGAUACAAACCUGAAGAUAUUAAACUUCAAGGUAGAAAGGGCAGAUAAUUAGAAGCUUCUGAUCACUUGAGACAUUAAAAUGGACAUUGCUGUGCAAACACGA